rnacentral:rRNA from 7 species
AUCUAUACUGUGAAACUGCGAAUGGCUCAUUAAAUCAGUUAUCGUUUAUUUGAUAGUACCUUACUACUUGGAUAACCGUGGUAAUUCUAGAGCUAAUACAUGCUAAAAACCCCGACUUCGGAAGGGGUGUAUUUAUUAGAUAAAAAACCAAUGCCCUUCGGGGCUCCUUGGUGAUUCAUGAUAACUUAACGAAUCGCAUGGCCUUGCGCCGGCGAUGGUUCAUUCAAAUUUCUGCCCUAUCAACUUUCGAUGGUAGGAUAGUGGCCUACCAUGGUAUCAACGGGUAACGGGGAAUUAGGGUUCUAUUCCGGAGAGGGAGCCUGAGAAACGGCUACCACAUCCAAGGAAGGCAGCAGGCGCGCAAAUUACCCAAUCCCGACACGGGGAGGUAGUGACAAUAAAUACUGAUACAGGGCUCUUUUGGGUCUUGUAAUUGGAAUGAGUACAAUUUAAAUACCUUAACGAGGAACAAUUGGAGGGCAAGUCUGGUGCCAGCAGCCGCGGUAAUUCCAGCUCCAAUAGCGUAUAUUAAAGUUGUUGCAGUUAAAAAGCUCGUAGUUGAACCUUGGGCCUGGCUGGCCGGUCCGCCUCACCGCGUGUACUGGUCCGGCCGGGCCUUUCCUUCUGGGGAUCCUCAUGCCCUUCACUGGGUGUGCUGGGGAACCAGGACUUUUACUUUGAAAAAAUUAGAGUGUUCAAAGCAGGCCUUUGCUCGAAUACAUUAGCAUGGAAUAAUAGAAUAGGACGUGCGGUCCUAUUUUGUUGGUUUCUAGGACCGCCGUAAUGAUUAAUAGGGAUAGUCGGGGGCAUCAGUAUUCAAUUGUCAGAGGUGAAAUUCUUGGAUUUAUUGAAGACUAACUACUGCGAAAGCAUUUGCCAAGGAUGUUUUCAUUAAUCAGUGAACGAAAGUUAGGGGAUCGAAGACGAUCAGAUACCGUCGUAGUCUUAACCGUAAACUAUGCCGACUAGGGAUCGGGCGAUGUUAUUCUUUUGACUCGCUCGGCACCUUACGAGAAAUCAAAGUCU